ensembl:lncRNA
GGGGAGGGGAGACGGGGUGCGGAGUAGGAAUCAGGGAGAGUGUGUGUAAGAAAGGGAGGGACCCUUCCCGGAAUAUGGGUGAUUAAAAAUAGGGAAUAGGGACAAUGCGGGUGCCUUGACUGUGAGUGACGUAAGAGGGGGAGGUAUUCAAUAUUUAAAAGGUAUUCUGAAGACGAAAGGAGAACUCCAUCAAUCCUCCAUCUUGUCCUUUGCCAAACCUCACCAUCAAAUGGACAGACAUAGUGAGAAGAGGGGUAGGAAAGGGCUGGAAACCCUGAAAUAUCCCUACAUGCCCCAAGUCAAUUUCAAUUUAAGGGGCUUUAUUGGCAUGGGAAACAUAUGUUUAAAUUGCUAAUGCCAGUUGAAUAGAUAAGAAACAAAAGUUGAAUAGACAAUAAAAAAUGUACAGUAAACAUUACACUUACAAAAGUUCAAAAAGAAUAAAGACAUUUCAAAAGUCAUUAUGUCUAUGUACAGUGUUGUAAUGAUGUGCAAAUAGUUAGUAGUUACAAAAAGUACAAAAAGGAAAAUGAAUAAAACAUAAAACAUGGGUUGUAUUUACAAUGGUGUGUGUUUUUCACUGGUUGCCCUUUUCUUUUGUCUAAUCUUGCUGCUGUGAUUGCACACUGUAGUAUUUUACAGAUUGUACACUGUGGAUUGUACACCGUGUAAUCUGAGGGAAAUAUGUGUCUCUAAUAUGGUCAUACGAUUGGCAGGAUGUUAGGAAGUGCAUCUCAGUUUCCACCUCGUUUUGUGGCCAGUGUGCACAUAGCAAAUCUCUUUACUUACUUACUGGGAUUACAAACGCAUAUCAGGUUAGGCAGCUAAUUGUUGACCGGGUAUGACUCAUAUAGAUCAAUGUGGGUAAUGGAGGAAACAUCCGGGUCAAAGCCUGGUAAAGAGAGAAAGGAGGUAGAAGACCUCUAAGAAGUUAUUAUGGGCAUCUUUAUUUCACAAUGAGACAGUGGCUUAUUAUCAAGUAUCAAAACCCAGUGGAUGAUUUCUAACGUAAUAACAACAUCAACGGAGGUUGAACAAUGUGCUGGUGAAUUGACUUCAUGCACACCCAUCAUAGACAUAGUCGCUCAGUAAAGUUCCUCCUCUCCUGGACUAGAGACGCCAACAACCAGGGUCAUCAGCAGAUUGCUGAGAAGAAUUCUCGUCUAGCGCGGAUACUGAACCACACCGCUCUGGGUAUCGGCAUCACCGUCAUCGUCCUGUACAUCGUCUCUGCCAUCAUCCUGGGCAACCGUAUCGACUGAUCUGACACCUCAACACCGGCUAGCACCACAGCCACCGCUUCUCUCAACCCCAGCACCCAAAAUCAUCAUAACCUUGACCACAUACAAUAGGUGACAGGCACUUUCCAAAGAGAUACAUCCCACUGGGGACACACUGGUUGAAUCAACGUUGUUUCCACGUCAUUUCAAUGAAAUGGCGUUGAACCAACGUGGAAUAUACGUUGAAUUGAUGCCUGUGCCCUGUGGGAUAUAUCAUAAUGCUGUUUAUUCAUCAAUGUUUAUGACAUACAUUUUGAAAAACUACAUCUAAUGACUUACUUUUUUUUAAUACCGGCAGACCGGAUAGUUUAAAUCAUUCAUUAUUUUGCCUGUUUAAUUGUAUAUGUAAUAUACAUAAAUAAACACCAAAUUAUGGACACAAAUUGUAUUUUGGAAUAUUUCUAAUACAUUUCUGAAGGAUAGUGUAUGUACAUUCAGUGUUUAUGGAUAAGUCAUAUCAGAGUUUAAAGACCGAUUUGACAAUGUUAUGAGAAUGCAGCAGAAAGAGACUAUUCUUAAAGUCUGAAAUGACAUGUAUUACUGGUUGUCAUUACACAGAGUGCCAGUGAGGUUACCACUCACAAGAGUAAACAUUUUACAACUCAAUGUCAAAUAUUUACUUCUUGUUACACGUGUAACAAUUUCCUCAAUUCAGUGUUCUUUGCUGUCGGCAAUGACACAAGCAAUAUCUAAUUCAACUUAUUUCUGACAACUGUGGAGACUAAGGCCUACAUUCAAUCUGUAGCAUGGAAGGUCCGUUGUAUAGCACGAUUGAAAUUUAAAGGUAAUUUCCGAUUGACUCAACAUAUCCAACAUUUACCGUGAAUGCAGUCUCCUCGAACGCAGGAACAUUUCUUUUUUUCCUUUUGGUACGGAUUGAAUCUAGCUCUAGAAGUCAAAAGGAAUUGCCACACUGUUCCUGUUUGGCCUUUCAGUUGAUUCAUUUGAUAAAAAUGUCCCCACUAUCAAUGUCAUUUAUAGUCACAUAUUGUCAGAUUAUGUAUAACGCUGUAUAGACAUAUAUUUUAUUUUACUAUAUAUUCAGUGAUGCUCAACUUUUCUAUCUACCUCUUCAAUUUUAUCCUUCUCUAAAGUAUGUAGUUGAUGGAAAAAAAUGUUUUUUGUUUGUGAAAACACAAAAGAAGAGGCCAUUAUCAGAAUACAGAUUUGUAAACCAAAAUAUUUUUAAAUAAAGCUCA